UUAGAAAAGCAGGAAUCGAACCUGCACAGAGAAAUCAAAGCCCUUCAUACUUCCCUUGGAUUAUUUCCU
rnacentral:tRNA from 1 species